CUCAUCCAAUUGCUGAAUCUCUAAUGGUAGAUAGUAAUUUCAUUGUUAAAUUUAAUUAAAAAAACUAUUAACUGUUUUAUUUUAUAUUUUUUGAUUUAGGAAAUUUAUAAAAGUAAAAGACUUGCUAGCAUGCGAGAACACGGUCUUGAAAUUCCUAUGUCUCAAAGUACAGAGGGAUCUACAACAGAGUCACAACCGAUGUACGUUGGCGAAGAUGACCAAGAGUGGAUGAAAAUAUUUAAUCAUAAAAAAGGCCGUGUUCAAGGAUUUGGAAAAAUUCAACCAUGUCU
rnacentral:lncRNA from 1 species